UGCAAUUCAGAAAAUCAACUGGAAUGAGCAGUCUUUGUUGCAGAGUGAUCUGGGGAAGAUGUCCAGACUCCACCUCCACCAGAGACCCUUGGGCUGCUUGGGAGUUGGAGCAUGAUUGGAACAAUGUUCCAACUCCAGGGUGUAGGACCUGGGGCAUAUGCUGAGUCUUCGUACACACCCAGAACACCUAGUCUACACCUUUAAUGAAAAGUAAACUAUCU
rnacentral:lncRNA from 1 species